rfam:Syntrophus sp. GWC2_56_31 gwc2_scaffold_9969, whole genome shotgun sequence.
GGAACCGCGAGGGACCGUCCGAAGGAAGCCGGAGCGCAAAGCUAUGAGCCGACGAACAGAAACAGCAUACAAGGCUGAGUCUCCGGGCAAGUCAGCGCAACAUGACAAAGCACCAAUGAUACUCAUCAAGGCCUCCUCCAGUAAGAACGAUAAAAUCGAUUCAAAGAAAAUCGC